rnacentral:rRNA from 1 species
UUUACUCCUUACGGGAGGCAGCAGUGGGGAAUAUUGCACAAUGGGCGCAAGCCUGAUGGCAGCGACGCCGCGUGAGGGAUGACGGCCUUCGGGUUGUAAACCUCUUUCAGUAGGGAAGAAGCGAAAGUGACGGUACCUGCAGAAGAAGCGCCGGCUAACUACGUGCCAGCAGCCGCGGUAAUACGUAGGGCGCAAGCGUUAUCCGGAAUUAUUGGGCGUAAAGAGCUUGUAGGCGGUUUGUCGCGUCUGCCGUGAAAGUCCGGGGCUCAACUCCGGAUCUGCGGUGGGUACGGGCAGACUAGAGUGAUGUAGGGGAGACUGGAAUUCCUGGUGUAGCGGUGAAAUGCGCAGAUAUCAGGAGGAACACCGAUGGCGAAGGCAGGUCUCUGGGCAUUAACUGACGCUGAGGAGCGAAAGCAUGGGGAGCGAACAGGAUUAGAUACCCUGGUAGUCCAUGCCGUAAACGUUGGGCACUAGGUGUGGGGGACAUUCCACGUUUUCCGCGCCGUAGCUAACGCAUUAAGUGCCCCGCCUGGGGAGUACGGCCGCAAGGCUAAAACUCAAAGGAAUUGACGGGGGCCCGCACAAGCGGCGGAGCAUGCGGAUUAAUUCGAUGCAACGCGAAGAACCUUACCAAGGCUUGACAUGGACCGGACCGCCGCAGAAAUGUGGUUCCCCCCUUG